GGUGCCAAGGCAUCGAGGUCACCCAGAAAGUCAGGCUACUCACUCUUGGUGCAUCAUGGGGAAGCUGGUGACCAUGAAGUAGAGAGCUGACCAUUUUCAAAGCCAUUCCUGUGUUCCUGGACACUUGGGUUGCAUCUACUUCUUUGCUUCUGCAAACAGCACCUCGGUGAACCUCCUGGAUGGCCUCCUCAUGCCUACCUGCAUGGCAGGAUUCUGGAGGUGCAUCAGUUGUCACAGGAUGGGGAGGCAGGAAAUGCCUCUGCAUUUCAAGUGACCUCCUGGCUAAAACUGAGUGAGUCAUGCGCUCCUCCAGCCUCACAGAGUGCUUGUCCAGGCCUCUAAGAGCAGUUGGCGGGAGCCCUGCCCUCACCGUGCAAGGCAUCCGCCUGAUGAAGGCCCUGGACUUACAGCAGAUCAAGCAACUUCUCCUCGGCCACAAAGUUAAGAGGGGGAGACCCCAGUCUUUCUGGCUCCAACAUCCAAGCUCUCUUUGCCCAUGAUCUUGGAAUGAGGCCUGGCAGAAGCUACACCUGGAUUCCCACUGCUGAACCCAUGUAACUGGCAUUUGGACUUUUCUACCCAGUUACCCCCUUACGGGUCUUCAGAAUAGUUUUGCUGCAACAGCUUAAACCAUCCCAGGCCUCUGCACUCUGAUCUUCUGCUAGUCUGGCAUCAUUAACUGCCAGUCUGGAGUUCGGUGACUGUAAACUCCGAGGGGUCAGAGAUCACACCUGUCGGCGCACACGUCAUGCCCAGAACCCGGCCCAGUGCUUGCUACACAAGAAAAAUGACAGGGACUCACUUUCCAAGAAAUUACAGUACGUUCAAUGACUUCCCAUCAAGAGCGUGCACUGUUCCGUGUCCUGCCAUUGGAUGAAGGGGCUAAGACUUGGAUUUUCCAGAGGACCAUGUGAGUGGCCGUUUCCGGAUGAACGAGCAGCCAAGCACCAUCUUGGGACCAGGACCACUUCCCAAGCCAGUUCUCCCGGGACACCUCUCCGCGCGACCUUCUCUCCCGGGCGGAAUGACAGUGGCGCUCUCUGCCGCCAAGGUUCGGAGGCAGGCUCUGCAGUGGGCAGCGGGAACGGCUCAGGAAUUCCAACCCCCCAGGACCGCAGGACCUGCCAAGGCUCCCACCCUGCCUGAGCAAAAGCUUCAACCCGAGCAGCCUGGAUGUCAACCACACCUUGAACUUCUACCUCCAACUGCGCUUCAUAAACAGAAUUCUGCUCAAAAGAAAAGUUGGAGAAUCACUUGACUGGGGGGAUUGCAUCACCGCGGGGGAGGACAAGGAACCUGGAGGCUUCGAGGGCCAACCAGAAGAGGCUGACUGCCCCACCCGAACUACAAUUCCAUAGCAACGAGAGCCUGGACUGUGUAGUUCACCACGACCUCUCCUGCUCCCAGUACAUCAUGAACAUCUUUCCAGCAAGCCAGGAGCAUGGGACUCCCGUGGGAGGGAGAAAUCCAUCUGACCACUCAGCGACACUGGCCACCUGCUCAAAGCCAGGCCCCUGGGCCAGGCCACCACGAGGGGACCCCCUGCGUUUCUUCCCUUCCCUCUUGUCUGACGGGACAGUGUUUGCCUUAAAAACUACUAGGACUUCAGAAAAAAGUGCGAAGUAUAAAAUUCAGGGCUACAUGCAUGCUGGUACUCUGCCAGAGAUCUGGACGGUUCUCACCUCAAAAUUGCCACCCCUACGGUAGGAGCCCUCACAG